rnacentral:rRNA from 1 species
UACGUAGGGUGCAAGCGUUAAUCGGAAUUACUGGGCGUAAAGCGUGCGCAGGCGGUUGUGCAAGACAGAUGUGAAAUCCCCGGGCUUAACCUGGGAACUGCAUUUGUGACUGCACGGCUAGAGUGUGUCAGAGGGGGGUAGAAUUCCACGUGUAGCAGUGAAAAUGCGUAGAUAUGUGGAGGAAUACCGAUGGCGAAGGCAGCCCCCUGGGAUAACACUGACGCUCAUGCACGAAAGCGUGGGGAGCAAACAGG